rnacentral:rRNA from 1 species
UACGUAGGUGGCAAGCGUUGUCCGGAUUUACUGGGUGUAAAGGGCGCGUAGGCGGGAAUGCAAGUCAGAUGUGAAAUGCGGGGGCUUAACCUCCGAACUGCAUUUGAAACUGUAUUUCUUGAGUAUCGGAGAGGCAGGCGGAAUUCCUAGUGUAGCGGUGAAAUGCGUAGAUAUUAGGAGGAACACCAGUGGCGAAGGCGGCCUGCUGGACGACAACUGACGCUGAGGCGCGAAAGCGUGGGGAGCAAAC